rnacentral:rRNA from 1 species
AUUGAACGCUGGCGGCAGGCUUAACACAUGCAAGUCGAGCGGUAACAGAGAGAAGCUUGCUUCUCUGCUGACGAGCGGCGGACGGGUGAGUAAUGCCUAGGAAUCUGCCUAGUAGUGGGGGAUAACUUGCCGAAAGGUAAGCUAAUACCGCAUUCGUCCUACGGGAGAAAGGAGGGGAACUUCGGGCCUUUCGCUAUUAGAUGAGCCUAGGUCGGAUUAGUUAGUUGGUGAGGUAAUGGCUCACCAAGACCGCGAUCCGUAACUGGUCUGAGAGGAUGAUCAGUCACACUGGAACUGAGACACGGUCCAGACUCCUACGGGAGGCAGCAGUGGGGAAUAUUGGACAAUGGGGGGAACCCUGAUCCAGCCAUGCCGCGUGUGUGAAGAAGGUCUUAGGAUUGUAAAGCACUUUAAGUUGGGAGGAAGAGCAGUUAACUAAUAUUUGACUGUUUUGACGUUACCGACAGAAUAAGCACCGGCUAACUUCGUGCCAGCCGCCGCAGUAA